UGGGGAAUAUUGCACAAUGGGGGAAACCCUGAUGCAGCGACGCCGCGUGAACGAAGAAGGUAUUCGUAUCGUAAAGUUCUGUCCUAUGGGAAGAUAAUGACAGUACCAUAGAAGAAAGCUCCGGCUAAAUACGUGCCAGCAGCCGCGGUAAUACGUAUGGAGCGAGCGUUGUCCGGAAUUAUUGGGCGUAAAGGGUACGCAGGCGGUUUAAUAAGUCGAAUGUUAAAGAUCGGGGCUCAACCCCGUAAAGCAUUGGAAACUGAUAAACUUGAGUAGUGGAGAGGAAAGUGGAAUUCCUAGUGUAGUGGUUAAAUACGUAGAUAUUAGGAGGAAUACCAGUAGCGAAGGCGACUUUCUGGACACAAACUGACGCUGGGGUACGAAAGCGUGGGGAGCAAACAGG
rnacentral:rRNA from 1 species